AUUAUUUGCUUAAAUGUUAUAAAUUAAUGUCUUAGACGUUAUAAAUUAAUAGCUCAAAUGUUAGAAAUUAAUGAUUUAAAUGUAUAAAGUAGUGGUAGAAGGACGUCUGUCCUUGUCGCACAAUAUAGCUUUCCUUGUCUAACAGGAGUUGAGAUAUCUUCUCGUACAUUCUAUGCUCCUUGUUACUUUCCCGCAGUUCCGGCCGUCUGCCAUAGAUCGCAGCAUCGAUCAUAUACGUGUUUUUUUAAUUCAUCGAAUUUUCGAUAAUUCGAUACGAAAAUAUCUUGCACAGCUCCGACCACGUAAAACUCUACAAUCGUGGAACAUGCGUGUUCGUCAGACAGCCGAGCCACCGUGGACAUGAAGAUGUUGGUCAUGAACUACGUAGGGUUCAGAUCGACCACUCCGUCCAAUAAUUUCUUGUUCUAGUACUUUCGAGUAAAUUUAACACGUAUAAAAGAUCCAAUUAGCGUACUGGCCUUACUACGCUAUCGCGUCAACACGGUCUUAUUUCUCUGUAUUACGUAUAGUUUUAGUAUCGUCUCACUUAAUCUAAUUCCACUCAUGUGCCAUUCUUUUCUUUCUAUUUAUAUCUUGUUUCUUCGUUUUUCAUUCCCUUUGGUACAAAUUAUAGUGAAUGUAAAAUUAUAAAAUAAUAGAAUAUAAACUAUAUCGCUUAUUUUGUAUUCGUUAUCACAUUCUCCAUUAAAACAUUAGCCUAAUAACUAUACUAAUAACCAUUUGAGUGCAGAUUGGCAGCAGAACGUAACAGACUGUGCACAGCAUAAUCAGAAGGUAGAAAGGCAACACAGAAAGGCAGCAGAUCCUGCACAAAUUCAGCAAUUUAAAGCGCGCAUACCCUGUCAUUUAAAUAAGAC
rnacentral:misc_RNA from 1 species